rnacentral:lncRNA from 1 species
CAGAGCCCCCCACUCCUCCCUGGAAUCCAGCAGGGCUGCCCAAGGCCCUUGGCACAGGUUGGGAAGUGGGAAUGGUCCCCUGGGCCCUGCACACUCCGUUCUUCAUGGUGGGUCCUGCAUCCGUGGGAGGUUUCUGGGCUGCUGCUCUGAGGAGGGAUUUGAGGUCAGGCUGACUUUGGUGCUUCCCAAAAGGCACUGACUCUCUCUGUUUCAGUUCAGGUCCAGGGCAGCCACCCAGCAUUGCUCCAAAUCCACGAGAAGUGAAGCAAACCCAGGAAUUCACCCAGCCCUUCCCAUCAGUGGGCAGGUGGCAGCCCCAGUGCCAGGGAGAGGCAGGUGCUUUCUGCACACCCAGAACCGGACCAGACCCGCUGCCCAAAAUCCCAGCACAAACCACGGCUGCCCACAACCUUCUCCAGGGGGAGUGGUAAGUGCUGGGAACCCAGGGGACGUUCCCAGGACCUGAGCAACCAAAAACCUCCCUUUUCUCCCAGCCACAAGCAGUAACCCUGAGGUGACGGGCAGAAAGGGCCACUCCAUCACAAUGCCCGCUCCCCAGGGAUCCUUGGUACAUCGCUGCUUCCUUCCCAGCCCAUCCCAAAGAGCCAUCUCCACAUGGGACACUACCAAAACAUUUAUUAGAAGAGUGCAGGGUGGCCAGGCUCCACAGGACCUGCCCUGCAGCUGCCCACAGAGCUGGGGAGGGCAGCAGGAAUGUUCACCCUGGGCAUCUCGUGUGUCCCAGCAUCAACCGGGAGAUGCAGGCGCUUGUUUCCCCGAGGGAAAUGUGUCCCUGCUGGGGCGUGGGCAGUGGGGACAGGCUGGCUGUGCCAUUCCUGCAGGCAGGAGGCAGCACUCGGGCACUGCAGAACUCCCAGCAGGGAGAUCCAGGGCUGCUCACACUGGGCACUGCAGAGCUCCCAGCAGGCAGGCAGGCAGAUCCAGGGCUGCUCACACUGGGCACUGCAGAGCUCCCAGCAGAUCCAGGGCUGCUCACACUGGGCACUGCAGAGCUCCCAGCAGAUCCAGGGCUGCUCACACUGGGCACUGCAGAGCUCCCAG